rnacentral:rRNA from 1 species
UUCUCGGCUACGUCCUCAUCUUCACCGUUGAAAGUGCUUUACAACCCUAGGGCCUUCAUCACACACGCGGCAUUGCUGGAUCAGAGUUGCCUCCAUUGUCCAAUAUUCCCCACUGCUGCCUCCCGUAGGAGUCUGGGCCGUGUCUCAGUCCCAGUGUGGCUGAUCAUCCUCUCAGACCAGCUACUGAUCGUAGCCUUGGUAAGCCAUUACCUUACCAACAAGCUAAUCAGACGCGGGCCCCUCUUUUAGCGGCUGACCUUUCCCCCGGAGGGCGUAUACGGUAUUAGCGUCCGUUUCCAAACGUUGUCCCGUACUAAAAGGUAGGUUCCCACGCGUUACUCACCCGUGCGCCACUAGAUCCGAAGAUCUCGUUCGACUUGCAUGUGUUAGGCAUGCCGCCAGCGUUCAUUCUGAGCCAGGAUCAAACUCUAAUCACUAGUGAAUUCG